rnacentral:misc_RNA from 1 species
GAAAAGAACUUUGAAAAGAGAGUUAAAUAGUACGUGAAAUUGUUGAAAGGGAAACGAUUGAAGUCAGUCGUACCAACGGGAAAUCAACCUAUUGGAGUUGUGAAUUUUGGAUUUUGAAGAGUGUAAACCUUCGGGUUCAAAUAUUUGCGCUUUUUAGGCGUAAUUUUUCGUUCGGUAGGUUAACAUCGAUUUUGAAGAUUAUAAAAUGACCGGAGGAAUGUAGCUUCGAUCUCGUAUUGAAGUGUUAUAGCCUUUGGUAGAUGUAAUGAUCAAGAUCGAGGAUUGCAACGAAUACCCUUU